rnacentral:rRNA from 1 species
UUAAAUAAUUUAUUUAUUAUUUAUUAAUAAAAAUAAUUUUUAUUUUAGUAUUAUUUAAGAAAAAUUUUUAGUUUAUUAUAGUUAAUUAGUAUUGUAAAAGAAUUUUUUUAAAAAUUUUAAAGAAUAAUUUAAAUUUAGUACCUUUUGUGUCAGGGUUUAUUAAAAAGAUUUUUAUUAAUUUAGAUUUCUCAAAUUUUAAAGAGUUAAAAAUUUAUUAAUUUUAUUGUGGAAAAAAUAUUUAUAAUAAAUUUUUUGAAGUGAAAUGUUAUUCGAUUUAAAAGUUAUUUAGUUAUUUAAGAUUAAAUUUAAUUUAAUUAUUAUUUAAAUAUUUUAUUUUUUAAUUAUAUUUUAGGUAAUGAAUUAUUAUUUAAGGGAUAAGCUUUAAAUAAAAUUUAUAUAAAAUAAUUUAAUAUUAAUUAAAAUAUAUUAUUGAAAUUUUAAAUUAUUGAUAGUUUUUUAUAAAUAAUUAAUUAUUAAUAUUAUUUUUAUUAUUUUUAUGUUUUUAUUAAAUUUAAAUAUGGAAUUUAAAAAUUUUUGUAAAAAUGAUUAAAUUAGUAUAAUUAAAUGUAUUAUUAUUGAUUAUUAAAAAAUAAUUUAUAGGAAUUCGGCAAAAUAUUUUUUCGGUUGUUUAAUAAAAACAUGUCUUAUUGAUUAUAAUUUUAAGUCAAGCCUGCUCAAUGAUUUAUUUAAAUAGCUGCAGUAUUUUGACUGUACAAAGGUAGCAUAAUCAUUAGUUUUUUAAUUGAAAGCUGGAAUGAAGGGUUAUACGAAAAAAAAACUAUCUUUAAAUUAAUUAUUGAAUUUUAUUUUUAAGUUAAAAAGCUUAAAUUUAAUUAAAAGACGAGAAGACCCUAUAGAGUUUUAUAAAUUUAUAAUUCAAUAAUUUUUUUAUUAAAUUAUUAAAAAAUUUAUUUGAUUGGGGUGAUUUUUAAAUUUAAAAAACUUUAAAAUUUAAAACAAUUAUAAUUGAUUAAUUGAUCCAUAAAUUUGAUUAUUAGAAUAAAUUACCUUAGGGAUAACAGCGUUAUAUUUUUAGAAAGUUCUUAUUGAUAAAAAUGAUUGCGACCUCGAUGUUGGAUUAAAAUUUAAAGUAGGUGUAGAAGCUUAUUAUUUAGGUCUGUUCGACCUUUAAAAUUUUACAUGAUCUGAGUUUAGACCGGCGUGAGCCAGGUUAGAUUCUAUCUUUAUAUUUUAUAUUUUAGUACGAAAGGACCAAAUAUAGUUAUAUUAUAAUUAAUUUGAUUAAAUAUAAUUAUU